UCCACUUUUCCUUUCUUGUCAAGCUAAAGCAGCUAUCGGGUUCCUCCACUGGCUCCAAUAGCGCUCCGAUGGCGGCAGGGUCCAUCAUCAGGGAUGGAAUAAUUCGGAACCUCCUCGCCUAUGAUCUCAUUGAUGAUCAUGGCGCUGUUGCGUCUCAUGUCUUUGUGGAUGUCCUCCUCGUCCUUCUCACCGCUUCAGCGGUGGUCCCAAUCUAUGUAGCCGCACCAUGGUGAAGAGACAAAGGAGGGGAGGAGAGGGUCCACGAUCAGGGAGGAUCACAUGAGAUGGGAGGCAACAAAGUCGUAUGGACAUUUUGAGAGAGAGAGAAACAUAGGGAGAG
rnacentral:lncRNA from 1 species